UGAGGAGAAGAAGAACUUUGUGUCUGGUCUUAUGGAAGGGAAAGCCAUACUUCUUUGCCUCAUGGUGAUUGCGCAGCUUGGAAAUUCCAUUCAUGUUGAGCAAUGCUUUACUGGAAUUGCAUUUGGAGCCAGUGCAUGCACGAAAUUAAAAUGUCGGUUAUCCUGCAUGAGAAAAUGGGGACCCGAAGUCUCGGAUUCUUACUGUAGGGAAGUCAUCCCAAACUUUUGGCACUGUGCCUGUGUCGUUUGUGACUCCUAGAACUGUACUAUGUCAUGAUGUUCAACGAUGGAUAAUGAUGUGGUCCAGUAAUAAAACCUUCUUGUGAGAGGCAUGCAAGUUCUAAUAA